GGGUGGGGAGGCCCUGGUGUCACUAACCCUAAUGGCCGCCGCCGCGCUCCCCGCGCCCGUCCGCUGUUUUACUCGCUGACUUUCAGCGGACGCGGGGAGUAGCCCGGGAGGGGGGUGGAGGGGAAGGGGUUCCGCCAUCAAAAAACGUCAGCGAGGGGUCUCCUCACCC
rnacentral:telomerase_RNA from 1 species